UACCUGCAGAAUAGCACCGGCUAAUUCCGUGCCAGCAGCCGCGGUAAUACGGAAGGUGCAAGCGUUAAUCGGAAUUACUGGGCGUAAAGCGCGCGUAGGUGGUUUGUUAAGUUGGAUGUGAAAGCCCUGGGCUCAACCUAGGAACUGCAUCCAAAACUAGCUCACUAGAGUACGAUAGAGGGAGGUAGAAUUCAUAGUGUAGCGGUGGAAUGCGUAGAUAUUAUGAAGAAUACCAGUGGCGAAGGCGGCCUCCUGGAUCUGUACUGACACUGAGGUGCGAAAGCGUGGGUAGCGAACAGGAUUAGAUACCCUGGUAGUCCACGCCGUAAACGAUGACAACUAGCUGUUGGGAGACUAUGUCUUUCAGUGGCGCAGCUAACGCUUUAAGUUGUCCGCCUGGGGAGUACGGCCGCAAGGCUAAAACUCAAAUGAAUUGACGGGGACCCGCACAAGCGGUGGAGCAUGUGGUUUAAUUCGAUGCAACGCGAAAAACCUUACCUACUCUUGACAUACUUGGAGGCUCUUGUAAUGAGAGCGUGCCUUUUGGAACCAAGAUACAGGUGCUGCAUGGCUGUCGUCAGCUCGUGUCGUGAGAUGUUCCGUUAAGUCGGAUAACGAGCGCAACCCUUACCCUUAUUUGCCAGCGAUUCGGUCGGGAACUAUAAGGGGACUGCCGGUGAUAAACCGGAGGAAGGUGAGGACGACGUCAAGUCAUCAUGGCCCUUACGAGUAGGGCUACACACGUGCUACAAUGGAGAAUACAGACGGACGCUAAGCCGCGAGGUGGUGCUAAUCCUAGAAAGUUCUUCGUAGUCCGGAUUGGAGUCUGCAACUCGACUCCAUGAAGUCGGAAUCGCUAGUAAUCGCGGAUCAGCAUGCCGCGGUGAAUACGUUCUCGGGUCUUGUACACACCGCCCGUCACACCAUGGAAGUGGAUUGCACCAGAAGUAGAUAGUCUAACCUUAGGGAGGGCGUUUACCACGGUGUGCUUCAUGACUGGGGUGUAGUCGUAACAAGGUACCCG
rnacentral:rRNA from 1 species